GCACAAGCGGUGGAGCAUGUGGCUCAAUUCGAUGCAACGCGAAGAACCUUACCAGGCCUUGACAUGCACUAGACAGACGCUGAAAGGCGUUCUCCCUUCGGGGCUGGUGCACAGGUGCUGCAUGGCUGUCGUCAGCUCGUGUCGUGAGAUGUUGCGUUAAGUCGCGCAACGAGCGCAACCCCUGUCCUUAGUUGCCAUCAGGUAAAGCUGGGCACUCUAGGGAGACAAACCCUCUCUGAGGGUGGGAAGGUGGGGAUGACGUCAAGUCAGGAUGGCCCUUACGGCCUGGGCUGCACACGUGCUACAAUGCCCGGUACAGAGGGACGCAAGACCGCGAGGUGGAGCAAAUCCCAAAAACCGGGCCCAGUUCAGAUUGCAGUCUGCAACUCGACUGCAUGAAGCCGGAAUCGCUAGUAAUGGCGUAUCAGCUACGACGCCGUGAAUACGUUCCCGGGCCUU
rnacentral:rRNA from 1 species